rnacentral:rRNA from 1 species
CCUACGGGAGGCAGCAGUGGGGAAUUUUGGACAAUGGGCGCAAGCCUGAUCCAGCCAUGCCGCGUGUGGGAAGAAGGCCUUCGGGUUGUAAACCACUUUUGUCAGGGAAGAAACGGCUUUUUCUAAUACAGAGAGCUAAUGACGGUACCUGAAGAAUAAGCACCGGCUAACUACGUGCCAGCAGCCGCGGUAAUACGUAGGGUGCAAGCGUUAAUCGGAAUUACUGGGCGUAAAGCGUGCGCAGGCGGCUUUGCAAGACAGAUGUGAAAUCCCCGGGCUCAACCUGGGAACUGCAUUUGUGACUGCAUGGCUAGAGUACGGUAGAGGGGGAUGGAAUUCCGCGUGUAGCAGUGAAAUGCGUAGAUAUGCGGAGGAACACCGAUGGCGAAGGCAAUCCCCUGGACCUGUACUGACGCUCAUGCACGAAAGCGUGGGGAGCAAACAGGAUUAGAUACCCUGGUAGUCCACGCCCUAAACGAUGUCAACUGGUUGUUGGACGGCUUGCUGUUCAGUAACGAAGCUAACGCGUGAAGUUGACCGCCUGGGGAGUACGGCCGCAAGGUUGAAACGUCAAAGGAAUUGACGG